GUCAUGUUUCGACUGUUUCGUUUCAAACUUUGCUAAUGACAAAUUAUUUAUACGUUUAAAAAUUCCUGACCCGUGGGCAUGCAACCCAUGGUUACCUAGAAAGCAAGAUCAUUAUUUAGUUUUCAAGCGGUUGCAACAUCUAGGAAUAUGUUGACUAAUACUUUUCAUUACUUUUCAUAGUUUUGUCUUCAUGUUUUUUUUUAAUAAUGAUUGCCAGUAGUUUGAUAAAAACUAAACAGUAUAAUACAUUUGGUUGCAUAUAAUUUUCACAUUAAUGAGUAAUCUGCUUCUAAUCGUUCGAUCUUAAAGGGGGGGGGGACUUAUUUUCUAGGAAUUUGCGCAGAGAAUUUUCGCUUCAUAUUUUUUUCGGGGGGAGGGCAUAUUUCCUCUUGCACCGGUACAAGUACGAAACACUGGAGAGCCACCUUAAAUGUCUGACCGUGAAAAUCCAAGAUGGAGGUCGUAGUUGGCACAUAUGAUCAAUCAUUGUGUGCUUUACAGCUCUGUUGUGAGGAUGAUAAUCAAGUAAGAAAGCGUAAUUGGUCGGAAUAAAGUGGUUAUGUAAUUUAGUUUAAUGAGUAUGUGUUGUUUUCGUUGUAGAAUUACAGAUUUGAGGCUGCAUUCUCGGAUCAUGGUCACAGUGGUUGUGUCAAAGCAGUGGCUUGCAAUGAGAAAAUUUUGGCUUCAGGGUCUACAGAUGAAACAAUACGGUAGAUU